AUAAUGGGUCAGCGACUUAUAUUCUGUAGCAAGGUUAACCGAAUAGGGGAGCCGAAGGGAAACCGAGUCUUAACUGGGCGUUAAGUUGCAGGGUAUAGACCCGAAACCCGGUGAUCUAGCCAUGGGCAGGUUGAAGGUUGGGUAACACUAACUGGAGGACCGAACCGACUAAUGUUGAAAAAUUAGCGGAUGACUUGUGGCUGGGGGUGAAAGGCCAAUCAAACCGGGAGAUAGCUGGUUCUCCCCGAAAGCUAUUUAGGUAGCGCCUCGUGAAUUCAUCUCCGGGGGUAGAGCACUGUUUCGGCAAGGGGGUCAUCCCGACUUACCAACCCGAUGCAAACUGCGAAUACCGGAGAAUG
rnacentral:rRNA from 1 species